UUAAAUAGCGUUGCUGAUUUUUGUUUUUUUCCUAUAGGCUCUUGAACAUCCAUCCUGCAAGUUUUGGACUUUUAUCCAUCUGUACUUUCUUUAUCUAAACUGGAAACAUCCUGUUCUCAUACUUCAUAUGAAGUGCAGCAGCAGCAGUGGCAGCGCCCCUUCGGAACUGGAGGAUGAACCUGCCUGCAUGGAGGAGAUUGAUUACAGUACAGACAGCAGCUCAGACCAGGAAGGGAGCUUGUCUGAGCUGGACCGGAGGAUCCAGGAGUGCGCCUCGAAUAAGGAUGAGGGAGAGGAAGAAGAGGAGACACCAGGGCGGGAAGGAGAAGCCAUCCCAUAGCCCCGAGGUUCACAGCAAGUUCUGUGUCUCCAACCAUUGGAUUGGACUAGAAGCUAUGCUACUGCUGCUUCAUCAUCAGACACACAGAGUGUCUCCUGAGAAUGACCUCCUACCCGUUGCUUCAGUAACCUCUUACACAUGGAGAGCAGAGCUGCAGGAAAGCAGGACACACGUGAGUCCAGCCAACUCAGAGCUUCAAAGAAGCGUCCAGGAGAAAGCUCCCUCAGCCCCCUGUUUGCAGUGCCUCCUGGUCGGUAAUUUUCCAGAAGCAGUUUCUUGUUUCCUCCAAAUGGCCUGUAGAGGUCAGGAAAGGGCCUUGUUUUCCAAUCACCGACUGUCCUCUCUACAUUAGCAUUCACCCCGGGUGUCUAUAAUUAAGCAAGCCUAAGCUGGGCACAUAGGAACGGAAAUGCAUUGACUUUAAUAAAACAGAGUG
rnacentral:lncRNA from 1 species